UACGAGGGGGGCGAGCGUUGUUCGGAAUUACUGGGCGUAAAGCGUGCGCAGGCGGCUUCUCAAGUCAGGGGUGAAAGCCCAGAGCUCAACUCUGGAAUUGCCUUUGAGACUGAGUGGCUUGAGUACGAGAGAGGUGAGUGGAAUUCCCAGUGUAGAGGUGAAAUUCGUAGAUAUUGGGAAGAACACCGGUGGCGAAGGCGGCUCACUGGCUCGUAACUGACGCUCAUGCACGACAGCGUGGGGGAUCAAACAGG
rnacentral:rRNA from 1 species